GAUGAACGCUGGCGGCGUGCUUAACACAUGCAAGUCGAACGGUGAAGCAGGAGCUUGCUCCUGUGGAUCAGUGGCGAACGGGUGAGUAACACGUGAGCAAUCUGCCCUGGACUCUGGGAUAAGCGUUGGAAACGACGUCUAAUACCGGAUACGAGGCGUGGGGGCAACCCCAACGCCUGGAAAGAACUUCGGUCCAGGAUGAGCUCGCGGCCUAUCAGGUAGUUGGUGAGGUAACGGCUCACCAAGCCUACGACGGGUAGCCGGCCUGAGAGGGUGACCGGCCACACUGGGACUGAGACACGGCCCAGACUCCUACGGGAGGCAGCAGUGGGGAAUAUUGCACAAUGGGCGCAAGCCUGAUGCAGCAACGCCGCGUGAGGGACGACGGCCUUCGGGUUGUAAACCUCUUUUAGCAGGGAAGAAGCGAAAGUGACGGUACCUGCAGAAAAAGCACCGGCUAACUACGUGCCAGCCGCCGCCGUAAGAC
rnacentral:rRNA from 1 species